CCUGUGUAUGGCCGACUUACUGUUUCAAUGGGCAAAAAUUUACAGAAUAUGUGUUGAAAAUGGGAAACAAACGGGGGCUAAAAUCUCCGAACCUCAACCCUUUCUCACAUUAUUCCUUACAAAACCACAACUCUCUCUCUCUCUCUCUCUCAUUUCAGAACCCUCAUCUCUGUCAUCCUCGAAGCUCUGCUGUCUUCCUCCGUCUCCUCUCCGAGGACCUCUUAAACAUCAAGCCUUAAAAGCCCCAAAUCACUAAUAGCAAAAACCCUCACCUGAUUCUUACUUUGAAAUAAAAAAACUAACCUGACUUUGAAGUCUGCAAUGGCUGGAAAAAGUGGGUCGAAGAUAAAAAUAAUUGUUGAUGAAGAAGCAUCUUCAAAGAAGAAAAGAAUUUUUUUCAAAACGUUUUAAGGAUUUUGACUAUUUAUUCCAUUUUCAGUCAUUAGAGAUCACGAUUUUUAUUUUCAGCACAAAUGAGACUAGUAUUUCUACUCUUAUUAAAGAUGGAGAGGCAAGUAUCUAGAGUGUUUAAUAUCCUUAGUGACAUUGGAGAGGCAAGACUAGGAUUUGAUUGCUAUUUCCACCUGUAGGGUCGAUAUCUAGCCAUUAUAUCUAUCCCAAUUGGAUGGAAUUUAUGUAAGGUAUCCAAUGGAUAUUAUAAACCCUUUUGAACCAUACUAGUCACUGGUCAGCAUAGUGUGGCAGGUACUUGAAUUUUCAAAUUGCAUUGCCUUUCGAUUUCGUUGUCACUUUUAUUUAUUUAUUUUUUUUUUUACAAGGUGUCCUAUUCUAGACUAAUCCUUGGGUCUGUGAUCCGGCCCCUCUUCACACAGUCCGGUUAAUCGCAGGAUGUGCCUCCAACUGGCCAGGGUCCGAGCGCUCCCCACCUGGUCUGACAAAGUGCCAAGCAAGUCAAUCCAAGUUGCACCUUGCCUUCCAAGAAUAAUCCUUGCCUUCCAAGUUCCCACUUGCCUUCCAAGAAUAAAUCCUUGCCUUCCAAGAAUAAAUCGUUGUCACUUUUAUUGUUAGACCACAAGACUGUAAUUUCAUGUACA
rnacentral:lncRNA from 1 species